AGAGUUUGAUCCUGGCUCAGAACGAACGCUGGCGGCGUGCCUAACACAUGCAAGUCGAACGGGAUUGAGGGGCUUGCUCCUCAAUUUAGUGGCGCACGGGUGAGUAACGCGUAGAUAAUCUCCCUUAGUGACCGGGAUAACAGCGGGAAACUGCUGCUAAUACCGGAUAGUCUUCGUGUUUAACUUCACGGGGUAAAGGUGGCCUCUGCUUGCAAGCUACCACAUUAAGAUGAGCCCGCGUCUCAUUAGCUAGUUGGUAGGGUAAUGGCCUACCAAGGCUACGAUGAGUAGCUGGUCUGAGAGGAUGACCAGCCACACUGGGACUGGAACACGGCCCAGACUCCUACGGGAGGCAGCAGUGGGGAAUAUUGCGCAAUGGGCGAAAGCCUGACGCAGCGACGCCUCGUGAGGGAUGAAGGUCUUCGGAUCGUAAACCUCUGUCAAGAGGGAAGAAACCUUUAGGUUCAAAUAGGGCCUGAAGCUGACGGUACCUCUAAAGGAAGCACCGGCUAACUCCGUGCCAGCAGCCGCGGUAAUACGUAGGGGGCAAGCGUUAUCCGGAAUCACUGGGCGUAAAGGGUGCGUAGGUGGCUCAUCAAGCCAGAGGUGAAAGGCAUUGGCUCAACCAAUGUAAGCCUUUGGAACUGACGAGCUUGAGUGCAGGAGAGGUAAGUGGAAUUCCUAGUGUAGAGGUGAAAUUCGUAGAUAUUAGGAGGAACACCAGUGGCGAAGGCGACUUACUGGACUGUAACUGACACUGAGGCACGAAAGCGUGGGGAGCGAACAGGAUUAGAUACCCUGGUAGUCC
rnacentral:rRNA from 1 species